rnacentral:misc_RNA from 1 species
AACAUCGCGCACCUGCGGGAACCUGCGGAAGGAUCAUCAUCGAAUUCAUAUCCUUCUCCCACCGGAGGGGACCUAUGAUAAACCCUUCUGUGCACCGUAAACCGUUCACUUUGGCAGGCUUUGGUGGUGAGCGUGAGCUCGCCAACCUCGCGUUCCCUCCCUAGGGGGUUGCGCGUGGCGGCCUGCCGGAGUCCUCCAAUGAAAAACACGUUUUCGAACACGACUGAAAUUUCCUUUGAG